AUUGAACGCUGGCGGCAGGCCUAACACAUGCAAGUCGAGCGGAUGAAGAGAGCUUGCUCUCUGAUUUAGCGGCGGACGGGUGAGUAAUGCCUAGGAAUCUGCCUGGUAGUGGGGGAUAACGUUUCGAAAGGAACGCUAAUACCGCAUACGUCCUACGGGAGAAAGCAGGGGACCUUCGGGCCUUGCGCUAUCAGAUGAGCCUAGGUCGGAUUAGCUAGUUGGUGAGGUAAAGGCUCACCAAGGCGACGAUCCGUAACUGGUCUGAGAGGAUGAUCAGUCACACUGGAACUGAGACACGGUCCAGACUCCUACGUGAGGCAGCAGUGGGGAAUAUUGGACAAUGGGCGAAAGCCUGAUCCAGCCAUGCCGCGUGUGUGAAGAAGGUCUUCGGAUUGUAAAGCACUUUAAGUUGGGAGGAAGGGCAGUAAGUUAAUACCUUGCUGUUUUGACGUUACCGACAGAAUAAGCACCGGCUAACUUCGUGCCAGCCGCCGCGGUAAGAC
rnacentral:rRNA from 1 species